AAUGAAAUAUAUAUGUUAUUUGUAAAUUAGGAGGUGUACCUCCCCUCGAAUUGACAAUCAUAAAUUAAUUGUAUACAACGCUGAUUCGCAAGAAAAAUCAAGUAUCUUUACAUUGCUCUAGUCUAUGGCUCCAAUCGAAUAGUUUCUUUCUUCAUCUUCCAGUGCUGGAUGGAAACAGAGGUCUUUGUGGAGUGGGCAUGAAGGAGCGGCCGCCACUGCUGCUGCCCUCCUCUGAAUAGCCGUCAGCGCCACCGGCCUCGAGAUCCACCCCCGCCCCGCCUAGCUCCGUCGCUCUCCUUCUCGCCAGCGACGCCUCCUGCCGCUGCUCGAUGUACUUGCGCGUCCGGCACACAUAGACCGCAAGAACCACUAAGGCAAUCGCGAAGAACAGUCCCACCACGAUCCCAGCGAUCGCCUCGUGCGAGAGCGUGAUCGUUUCCUUGCUGGAUUUGGAUUGCUCCAGUAGCCACCGUCGUCCAAUCGACCCAAUCGCUGGCUGGAUCAUCCGCUGGAUCGAUCCAGGAGCUUCAUACCCGUAUUGGGUGACCUCAUAGGAUGAAUCUACACCGCUGCUACAACCGCCGCCUGGGAUCCAGAUCGCAAGCAGCAGGAAUAGAGAAAGAAGAAGAAGAAGCAAGCCGCUCCUCUGGGUUGGCACUACCUCUCCGCCAAAUAGCAACAUUUUCGUGAUCCUGCGUGUAUAGGGAUGUGUUCGCUGCCAAGAUAUCUAUUUCUCGAGCUCUCAAGUAUAAUGGAAGUUUGGGCGAUUUUAUCAUUUAUAUAGACUCUGUUGACCUACAAUACAUACGCGGAUAACGCGACUAGUUCAAAGUCUUCUUGUGAAUAGCGCGUCAUACGUGGACUUUCGUGGCCUUUGACGCUUGUGCUUCGCCUAGACCUUGAAGUUGACAGAACUUUUCUUAUGUGAAUUUCUUCUUCCUAAACCCUAAAUAAUCAAAGUGAUUUCAUGGCAAGAUCGCUUGUGAUCUGCAAAGAAAGAAGGAAUCUUUAUAGAUCAGUCUUCCUUGCCUCAAAAAUCCACAUUGCUUGCCGUGAGCUGAGAUGCAUUUCGACCAGCAGCUUAAAAGUUUUUAAGCCUAGAAGUUGGCGGGCGCAAUUUUCAUUAUAGGUUGGAGGGCAAAGCGUGGAGGUGGAUGAUGACACAGACGAGCAGGAUAUAAUCUCCAGCAUUCUCCACCGUGCCAAGUACAAGGCUCCCAGCUGCCUCAAGGAACUCACUGUUGUGCUUGAGUAUAGCAAGGAUGGUGAUGACCAGAUGGAAGUUAGCAGUCACUGCUGUUGGCUCCCUCACAAAGCUCUCCCUCGAAGCUCUCCAUGGGACCAAUGGGGAGCAGCGUACUCCACCGCGAUUCAAGAGCUCCACAUCACUGGGAAACCAUGUUGGGGGGUGUGGGAUCUUGUUGGUGACACCUCCGGGCACAAAUGAUUUAUUUGUGGGCACAAAUGAUUGUAACACAAAUCAAUCAGUAAGAUUUAACAAAGAAAAAAAACCAAAGAAGAAUAGUCAAGAUCCACAUGAAGAAAUAGUUGUAUUGUCUCCAGAUUAACAAAGAAAAGAGACUGUCCAUGGUCAUCUUGUGUUCACUGUCAAUUCAUUGGAGCGCAAGCCUCAAAACAUAGGUGAGACUGGGAGAGAUUGGCGAUGGCAUCCACCUUCCAGUGUCCAUAUAACGCCAACUUACGAAGGUUGUCAAAUCGCGUGUCCACAACGCAAGAGUUACACUGUUCAAUACCUCUAGGUUCGGGCACGAAGCUAGCAGCAUCUGGAGCAGGACGUAACAUCUUUUUACACGAAUCAUCUUGAAAAGAGAUCUAAGGCAAGAAAGAAUCAUGGCUGUCCACUCUUGAUAGGAAAGAUCAACGCAAAACACUCAAAUGAAACGCAGACCACUACAACCCUGUCUUGGAUUCGAUCGAAAACCCAUUGAGCCUCCAUUGCCACAUUUCCCAUACAUGUUGAUCAAGCUACUGGCCACACGAGGAUUGGAUUGGAGCCAUAUCCUGUGUGGAUGUGGAUCCUCCUCCCUCUCUCCAAAUCCCUGGCGCCGGUGCAGGAUUUCAUGCUGUCCUUGACUCUAACCAUAAACUUUUCUCUCUAUUUCAAAGAGGUGGGAGCGAGAGGACUCCAGUCUCCUCUCUAUGUGGCGGUAGCUCCAGUGGAACCUGUGCAGAAAACUCACAAGGACGAGCAUCAACAUCGUGACUCGCAAAACCACAAGAGGUACCAAUUCAUCUUUCGUGAAACUUAGUAGUCAUGCAGUUGAUUUUCAAUAAGAACUUGACAAAGAUCAGGCAUUGCUACUUCUCACGCGUGAAAAAAUGCGACCAGGAAAAAAGAAGAGCAAGUCGAACAGCACCCGGUAGCAUUCGUAGCUUGGCUUCAGUGCCAGGAGUUCCCAGUCCGCCACAACUUGGCGGCAGUGGAUCACGAUGUCUUCCACUUGAUGUACUCCAAGUAAAUCCUUGAGAACCAUCACGGUGGGCGGUGUGGGAUCUUGCACGUGAAGAUGAACAGCCACAUCCUUACGCUUGGUGACACCUCCAAGCUCCCUCAGUUAACAGCGAACAUAAGAUGACCAUGGACAGUCUCUUCUCUUUGUUUGGCUUUGGAGACAAUACAUACUGACUGCUGUUCUCUUCAGGUUCGUUUUGUUUUUUUUGUCUUGUGUUUCUUGCUAAUUGAUCUAUGUUGCAGUCAUUUGUGCCUGGAGGUGUCACCAAGUGCAAGGAUGUGACUGUUCAUCUUCACGUGCAAGAUCCCACACCGCCCACCGUGAUGGUUCUCAAGGAUUUACUUGGAGUUCAUCAAGUAAAAGAGAUUGUGGCUCACUGCAGCGAAGUUGUGGCGAACUGGGAACUUCUCUCACUGAAGCCACGCUACAAAUGCUUCCAGAGUGCUGUUCGACUUUGGUCGCAUUUCUUUUGCACGUGAGAACUGCAUCACUGGCUUUAUUAGUUAGCAAUGCCUGAGCUUGGCAACGUAUCACUUUUUGUAGUUUCUAAAUCAAAGAAAACGUUGGCGAGCUUUUACCAAGUACUUCCAAGAUUGUAAUAGCUUCUAAAGAGGUGUGGAUACUCUUCUUCGCUGGAUAUUUACUGCUAGUGAGAAAACAAAAGGGGAAAGGGCCUGAUCUCUAGGGGUUGAGAGGGAAAGAUGAGUGAAUGAGUGUUAUGUAUUAAUAUGAAAACAAUGAAUGGAGAUAAGGAUCCACAACUCGGAUUCCCCCCUUUAAAAGGCUGGCAGCAUAUGAUAAUGAAUGGUAUAUGCUGUGCAUGAUCAAAUCUAAUGCAGCCUUGGGUUCAGGGUUAGAGUCCCCUGAGCCUGGGGUUUUGGUUAAUACCCUUCAUUGAGUUGUGAGCUUGCCUUUGCUGCACUAUGAGCUUCACGACCAAGCAAACCACCUACGAACCUCCUCACCUCUAGCUUUGGUUUGUUGGGAAGUGGUUCACUUGGUUGUGGAGCUCGCAGUGCAUGCAUUGAUCGAGGGCUUCAAACAAUUUGCGGGUGCAAUAGCUCAGAUCACAGAGUUUAUCCUUGUACUCCUUCCUGAUCUCAUUGUAAUCACAGUGUACCUGACUCUAUGGCUGAGGCAUGGCUACUACUCCGUGAUCCUGGUAUUCCUUGCUAGGGUUCACUGUGUUCUUGGUCCUGUGAUUUGAAGUUAAUCUGUUCCGUUGGAUGUGGGUGGCGUGGUUGGUCCAGAUUCUUUGAGGUGGUGCAUUUUGGAUUGAUGCUGGAUGAACGGCCCAGAUGUGGCACUGAAAUUAAUGUAUCCGUUGGGGUUGAACGGCGCAAAUCUUCCGCUUGAAAUUUUGUUGAAGGGGUGCUGAUGCUGCUCAUGGCAUUUGUUGGAGGAGGCAUGGUUGCAUGUUCUGCGAGUGAUCAGCAAAGGUAGUCGAUGUUUUCUUUCGUGGAGCAUAUUGAGGGGGUCAGGGCGGUAAAAAUAACGUUCUCAGCUGGCCAGCUGACGUUUUCCUUUGGAGAUGUUGAAUUGUUGGUGAGAAGUUGUCAGUUUUGGGGCUGAUUCAAGUGGAUCUAAUGCUAAAAAGCUAUUUUAUGCUUUGGUUUUUUUACUUCUUUGGUUCUUUUACUUCUUCAAAGUUUAAUUUCAUCCCUUUAUUGAGUGUGGAAGCUGGUGUGAGUUGUCUUCAUUGUCACUGAUGAUGAGGUGCUCUCAGAGCAGCGGCUUUUGAGCUGGAUUCGCUGGUGUGUUGUGUGUGAGGUGGUGGCAAAGUGGAGUUGAAUUGUUGAAGUGUUUAUUGCUGGAGCUGGUGUUGCUGGAGUGAGUUGAGCCUGAUUGUUAAGAUGUUGGCUUCGGUUUCUUGCUGGGAGUUGCUCCUUCUGAUCCUGACUGAUCCUCGGAGCUGUCGCUUUGUUCUUCAGAGUUCAUUUGGGUUGUCCACGGUUGCUUGUUGGGAAGAGCUUGGUGUAGAGCUACCAGCAGUGGGAACAUUACUGUCUGCAUGGUUUUCUUGUUGAGUGUGGUGAGGAUGGCACGGUCGAGAAGCUUGAGAAGGAGCUCGUGGAGAUGAUGAGCCACGUUCACACAUUUGCCGUCGAAUAGAGCUCUGUAGACCUCUGCUGUGCGCUUGCUGAUGGUGCGAUCCGUUGGGCAAAGUUCGUAGUAGAGGAGGAGGGCUCACCAACAACUCAACAUCUCCAAAGGAAAAGAGUUGUGAUUUGUUUGUAAGGGCAUUCUUAUACACAAACUUCACUGGAUUCUUCGUCUGUACAAGUUUUUCCUGCCAAAGAAACUUCUUCCACCCUUGCAGCGCACAGCGAUAGAGCAGCCGCGGCUGGAGAAGAAGCCUCAAAUUCUUUGAUCAAGGCCUUGACGUCGUCUAGCUUUCCCGACCGGCAAACUCAGUCGAGGAUGGAGCUGCAAGUGGUGGCGUCCGGCAGCAUCCCCUUGGCCAGCACCACUCGCAGCAGCUCCAUCGUCCCGGCCAAGUUCCCAGAUCUGUGGAGACCACCGAAGCAAGCCGCGAAGGUGAACGAAUCCGGCUGGUGGCCCUUGCCGACCAUCUCCUCAAGAACAGUGAUCGCCUGCUCGGUCUUCCCCGACUUCCACAGCCCGUCCACGAGGAUGUUGUAAGUCACGGUGUCGGGAUCCCAGCCAAAGCUCUUAAGCUUGCUCACGAGCUGGAGAGCGUCGUCGGUUCUCGAGGCCCGGCAGAGCGCGUAGACGAGCGAGCCGUAAGUCAUGGAUUCGGGCACGCAGCCGGAGCUCACCAUCUCCUCCAGGAACUCGCAGGGCUCCUCGAUCCGGCCCGACUUGCACAGGCCGUGGACAAGCACGUUGUAAGUCACCACGUUUGGAGGAACUCCGAGAUUCCCCAUGAGAUCGAGGAUGUCCCGCGCGGCCUCCACCUGUCCCGCCUUGCACAGCCCGUCGAUGAGCGCGCCGAAAGUCAUCACGUCCGGCUGCAUGUUCUUGGCCACCAUCUCCUCGAAGAGCGCGGACGCCUGCUCGAAGUUGCCGGCCUUGCAAGCCCCCGCGAUGAGAAUGUUGAAGGUGACUUUGUCAGGCACGAGCAUCCGGUUGUAGACCUGGAGCGCUCUCGACACGUCCCCGAGCUUGGAAAGUCCGUUGAUACAGCAGUUGAAAGCGUACGUGUCCGGGUCGGGCAUGGCGUCGAGCAGCGCCUCGGCCUGACCCGCCCGCCCCGUCCGGAAGAGGCCAUCGAUCAAGGUGCAGUACGUGAUCUUGUCCGGGGCCAGGCCGUGCUUGAGCGUCAUGUCGUCGAACAUCUGGAAGGCCUCGCCCGAUCGGUCCGACUUGCAGAGUCCGUCGAUGAUCGAGUUGAAAGUCACCACGUUUGGCGUGCAUCCCCGCGACGCCAUGCCGUGGAGGAGCUCCAGAGCCUCGUCGACGCGGGAGGCCUUGCAAAAGGCGUCGACGAGUACGCUAUAGGUGAUCACGUCCGGGGUGACGCCCUUGUCCACCAUGCUCUCGAUCAUGGCGUGGGCUCUCUCCAUCUUGUCGGCCUUGCACAGCCCGUUCACGAGCGCGUUGUAAGUCACCACGUUUGGGACGUAGCCACCUGCGAUCAUGUCGUCGUUGCAAGCCUCGUCGGUCUGGCCACACUUGCACAGCCCGUCGAUCAGCGUGCUGAAAGUCACGGUGUCUGGAGAGACUCUCAAGCUCCCAUCUCGCAAGCUCCUCAUCAGCUCGCACGCCUCGGCCGUCAUGGACUGCUUGCAAAGCCCGUCGAGGAACGAGUUGUAAGUGAUGAUGUUUGGAAGAACGUCGCAGCUCUUCCGCGUCAUCUCCUGGAUGAGCUCUCGCGCCUCGUCGAUCCGGCCGACCUUGCACAGCCCGUUGAUGAGCACGCUGUAGGUGACGACGUUUGGGACGCAACCUCGAGAGCUCAUGCCGCCAUGGAGCCGCCGUGCCUCCUCCAGAUCCCCGGCUUUGCACAAGCUGUCGAUCAGCGUGUUGUAAGUCACCACGUCGGGGUGGUGGCCUCUCUUCACGAGCUCCUCGAAGAGCUCCAUCCCUGCGCCAAGCUCGUUGCUCUUGCACAGCCCAUUGAUGAUCGUGUUGUAAGUCACGAUGGUGGGAGCUACGCCGUCGCGAGCCAUCUCCCCGCGGAAGAUCUCCAGCGCGCGGGCGGUCUCGCCGGCGCGGCACAGCGACUGGAGCACGAUGUUGUAGUCCGCCACCGAGCGCGAGGAGCUCCGGACAAAAAAAAAUUUCAGGGGACACAAAUUUACUCUUUGAGUGUUGAUGGUGGCGGUGGUGAUUGGUACCAGUAGAUUCGCGGCAGCAGUAUGGUGGUGGGGAUUUAUACACAUAUGGUGGUGGUGGUGGUGGCGACUCAUAUUUAUACGGUGGCGAUGGAGGUGGGGACUGCAGUGGUGGUGGAGAUGUGUACUUGUAUGGAGCUGGCGAUGGUGUACAUUUCUCACAUUUUGGUGGUGGUGGUGGUGGAGAUUUGUACUCGCACGGAGGUGGCAAUGGUGGAGACUUCUCGCAUUUUGGUGGUGGUGGCGGUGGGGAUUUCUCACAUUUUGGCGGUGGUGGUGGCGGGAACUUCGGUGGUGGUGGUAGUGGUGGCAGCGGAGACUUGGGUGGCUGGGGAGGUGGAGAUUUUUCACACUUUAGUGGAGGUGGUGGAGACUUGUAACGGUAAGGAGGUGGUGGCGAUUCAACUGGCGGUGAUGGAGAUUUGUGAUGGUGUGGUGGCGACUCAACCGGCGGUGGUGGUGAUUCAACCGGUGGUGGUGGCGAUUCCAUCUGUGGUGGUGGGGAUUUGUAACAGUAAGGAGGUGCAUUAGGAGGGCACAAACGAUUUGGAAACCACCAGGGUCUUCUCAGCCAUGGCCUCCAACAGAAGAAAUGAUCGUGCUCUUGGGAAUUCUAAAGCCAAAGUUCUUGGCAUCUCCAAAAGCCCCUGCAUUUCGAUCCAAAACCUCCUGAGAUCCAUCACAACUGACAGUAGAAACCAGGAGAAGCAGCAAAAGCAUGCUGCGUGACUUGAGGAAAAUCAUCACGUUCUCGAUAGAGAACCAAGAUCACUGGAAAGAGAGACCUUUUCUGUGAUGCUACAAAAAUUUCCAGGUUACCGUGUCCUAUCCGCUUUCAAAAUAGUAAUGCUUUAGAAAUUGAUGGCUCUGUUUAAUGUUUAGCAAAAGAUUUGCAACGCGCGCCCGUCUCUCGCCUCCACUCUGACUUCGAGGUGCAGAGGAGCUGAAGGAGCGGCAGACCUGGACAACAUUUUCGAGUGAGCAUCCGGCUGCGUUCCGAGGAUUUGAGCACAGCUUACUUUUACAACUCUUGUGUUGUUGACAAGCGAUGAGACAAUCUUCGUAAGAUGGCGCUAAUUGGACACUGGAAGAGGGAUGCCAUUGCCAAGCUCUCUCAGUUCUCACCUCUGGUCCCGAUGCUCGCCCUCCACCGUUUUAACAGCGAACACAAGAUGACCUCUUAUCUAAUUUGUUUGGCAACCUGGAGACUCUCUUCGGUUUUUUCCUUUUCUUUCUUGCUGAUCGAUCUGUGUUGCAGUCAUUCGUGCCUGGAGGUGUCACCAAGCGCAAGGAUGUGACUGUUCAUCUCUACGUGUAAGAUCCCACACCGCCCAACCUGAUGGUUCUCAAGGAUUUACUUGGAGUUCAUCAAGUCGAAGAGAUCGUGAUUCACUGCAGCCAAGCUGUGGCGAACUGGGGACUGCUGGCGCUGAAGCCAGGCUACGAAUGCUUCCAGGUGCUGUUCGACUUGCUCUUUGGUCGCAUUUCUUUCGCACGAGAGAAACAGCAUCAUUGACUGUAUUAGUGGCGAUGCGUGAUCUUUGUCAAGUUUUUAUUGAACAUCAACGUCAUGACUAGCCUGGUAUAUUUGUAACACCUCGAGCCGCCGUUGACGCUGUAGGUGACGACGCGCUCAUGUCGCCAUGAAGAGCCGGGCCUGCUCGAGAUCCCCCGCUUUGCACAAGCUAUCGAUCAGAGCUGGUUGUAAGUCGCCACGUCGGGGGAUGGAGCGAUCCCAAUGUGAGCUACGCGGAUUGGGCGCUCGCUUCCACGUCAGGGAUUCUUCUCUUCCAUCGCUCUUCCUCUCCUCCUCGCCAUUCGUCCUCCUUGCGGCGCUCUGCGGCCUGCUUGUCGAAGUCUUUCCUGUAGGAAUAAUGAUGAACACGACAAGCAGUCCGAAUCGUGAUCAGAUCUCUGGUGAUUUCCGAUUUGAUUGAAGUUGUAUAUAUAUAUACAGCCAUAUAUGAAUCAGUGUGUGUUGAAGUGAAAUCUGUUGUUCUUGCUCCGCUUUUCUUUCUUGGUAUCGGAGCGCUGGUUUCUGAACUCUUUCUUCUCCUUUCUUUGUGCCUCACAUCAUGAGCUGCAGCAAAGUUGGAUUGAUCUUGCUUCAGGGAGUCACUGCCUUUGAUGGGAGGAGAGGGUUCAACACUUGGUCCGAGAAAAUGAUGCGCGUGCUGCAGAUGGAAGAACUCUGGGAAAUCGUUUCACCACCAACAAGAUGCUCGUACGCGGCGAGCCCCUGCUACGUUGGGAGCUUCAACUUCAGUGGAAGGAGAAGUCGUGGAUGAAGAGGCAAUUCGUGCCUCUGUUGCAGCAGCUCGACAACAGCUUGAUCCAGGGGAACAAGCUGUGCUGGAGAAGAAGGAAUCUCGAGCAAAAGGAUUGAUUCUUUCUAAGCUUGCAGAUGCCCUUAUGAUGCGUUUGCGUCAUAAGUGUGCUUGUGAGAUCUGGGCUCAUCUCCACAACAAGUAUGCUGUUCUUUCCCUCUCCAAGAUUAGCAUGGUCGAGACUUGCAUUCGUGAGACCCGUUUUCAUCCAGGCGAGAACUUUGAAGAGUUCCUCGCCAAGAUGCAAGAUCUGUGGAUGGAGCUUGAAGGCAGUCCAGCAGCGUUCAACGAAAGCAAGAAAGUUCUGGCACUUUGCGAGGCCAUGCAAGAUUCUUCUUUUAGUUCUUUCGUCCCUACCGUUCGCAUGAUGUCGCUCAACUUUGAACAAGCUGAGCAAACUUUACGCUCGGAGCUGGCUGCGAGAGGUUUGAUUGUGGACUUUGAUCAAAGGCCUUCCCAUGUUUUGAUCUCACAGUCUACAGCAAAUGCUUCUGCAUCAAGCAAUCAGUCAGGGACUGAUUCAGCUCUGUGGGCUGGAAAUCAUCGAAACAGAGGAGGCCGUGGAAGAGGAGGACGAGGCAGAGGUCGCGGGUUUAGGGGAAAUCCGCAGCAGCAGCAGAAUUCAGGGAAUUCUGGUAAAGAAGCAGCAGUUCGGGAUUGUUUUGUGGCCAAGAACAAACAGGAAUGCUGGACCUGUGGGAUGCCAAGGCACUACUCCAAGGAUUGCCCAGUUGCAGCUUGGCUGCAGCACAUGAACAUAGGGCUCGCAGCAAAUGCUCAGGAAGGGGAAACACAGGAACUUGCGGCAUCAUCUGAGGUAGCAGUUCCAAACGUUUCUGAAAAACUGACCAUCGAUUCAGGUUCAGAGAGACACCUGAUGCAAAGCGGGUCGAACUUUGUGCAGUUGCGUGCUGCAAAAGGGAAGUGCAUUCGUGUGGGAGAUGGAAGCAUUUUACCUGUUCGCGCAACUGGGGAUGUGCGAGUUCCACUGGGAAGAAAGUCUCUGCUCUUGAAGAAUGCGUGGUAUGUUCCAAAGAUAGUGAAGAAUCUGGUUUCUGUAGCCAAGCUUACGGAUGAAGGUCUGGAUGUGAAUUUCUCCAAACAUCAAUGUCAAGUUCUUGCAAAUGGCCGUCCAUUACUGCAUUUUCCCAGAUGUGGUAACCUGUUUGAGAAGGAGAUAGCUUCUGGAGAAAAAUCGAAUGCUCCUGAGAUAUGCAUGACUGCAGAUAGCUCUCUCUGGCAUUCUCGACUUGCACAUGCCAAUCCUCCUCUCAUCAGGCGUAUGCAGAAGCAGGAGCUUGUGGAUGGCUUCAACGACCACGUUCUUCAAAGUUCAGCAAAAUGUCACACUUGCAUUCUUGGCAAGCAAACCCGUUGUACUUUCAAACCUGCUGUGACCAGAAGCACUCGUCCCUUGCAGCUCAUUCACUCAGAUGUUUGUGGACCCAUGCGACUGUUUGCUCAAAAUGGCACGAAGUAUUUUGUGACAUUUACAGAUGAUUUCUCCAGGCACACGGACGUCUUCUUUCUUCGUCACAAAGAUGAAGUCUUUAGCAAAUUCAAGCAAUUCAUAGUAGAAGCCGAAGUGAAAACUGGUCAGAGGGUUGGUUGUUUACGUACUGAUUCAGGAGGGGAAUACGUCAACAAGUCCUUUCAGCAGUUCUGUGCUGAACGAGGAAUUCUUCAUCAGCGUUCUUGCUCUCAUACCCCUCAACAGAAUGGAGUCUCUAAGCGCAAGAAUAGGACAAUCAUGAACGCAGUUUGGUGCUUCCUUCAAGAAUCAGGACUACCAAAAUUCCUUUGGGCUGAAGCAGUUGGAUCAGCUGUGCAUGUUCAAAACCUUCUCCCUCAUUCUCACAAUCCCAACAAGAUCCCAGAAGAGCUUUGGACUGGUCAAAGACAAUCGGUGGUGCAUCUCAGGCGUUUUGGUUGUUUAAGCUUUGCAAAAAGGGUGGAUGAGCAUCUUGGCAAGUUGGAGAGCAGAAGCAAGCUGGCCUUUCUUGUUGGAUACGAUUCCAAUUCAAAAGGAUAUCACCUGUACCAGCCUGGUAAUCAUCAAAUUUUUGUAAGCACUGAUGUUCGUUUUGAUGAAGGAACACUCUACAAAGAUCAUGUUCAAGAGGAAGGAAGCUCAGAUCAGAACAUGAACUGGACUCCAGAAGAAUGGAGUUGGGAUGGUGUUGAAGACGGUGAUGAAGAUGACGAUGAUCUGACAAUCAUCUAUCCCUCAUCUCCUUUAGCAGAUGAUCAUCCAACACCAGUCUCUGAAUCUUUUCUUCCUGAAGAACAGGGCGAUGCUACUCAUCGUGCACGAACUGGAGAAGUCGACAGGCUCACACGUGAUCUACCAUUCAAUGUGGAGAACUAUGGGCGGACAUCAUCUGGACGAUCAAGCAAAGCACCUCAUCCCAAGCAAUGGUCUUUUGCAGCAACAGAAAUAGCUUCUGAACCAGUCAACUUUGAGCAAGCGAUUCAAGCUCCUGAUGCAGAUAAGUGGAUUUCAGCAAUGCAAGAUGAGUUGAAUUCUCUUGAUGAGAACCAGACUUAUGACUUGGUGGAAGCUCCUAAAGGACGUGAAGUUGUUGGAUCACGCUGGGUGUUCAAGCUUCACAGAAAUCCUGAUGGAUCGGUACAGCGUUACAAAGCAAGACUUGUUGCUCAAGGAUAUUCACAAGUUCCUGGAGUGGAUUUUGAUGAGACGUUCUCACCAAUUGUGAAGCAGACAAGUAUCAGAAUGCUUCUGGCUUUUACAGCGGAGUUUGGUUUGUGCGCACAUCACAUGGACGUAAAAACAGCCUUCCUUAAUGGGAACUUGAAGGAGGAGAUAUUUAUGCGGCAACCCCCAGGCUUUGAGCUUUUUGGAUCCGGUUGUUCCGAACUCGUCUGCAAGCUUCGCAAGGCUCUUUAUGGCCUUAAGCAGGCUUCCCGUCAGUGGUAUGAAUGUUUGGAUUCUUUUCUUAUGGAUCUCGGUAUGCAGAGGUUGAACAGCGAUGGAAAUUUAUAUCUUCUUCAGCAGGGUGAUCACUUUGUUGUGAUAGCAGUUUAUGUGGACGACUGUUUGAUUGUCAGCAACAAUCACACUGUUUUGAAGGAUGUGAAGAUCAAGCUUAUGAACAGGUUUGUGAUGAAGGACUUAGGAGCUGUGCGGCAGCUGUUAGGGAUGGAAGUUGACAGGGAUGAAGCAGACAGGACAAUCACCCUCACACAGUGCCAAUAUGUGAAGAAGCUUCUCAACCAGUUCAACAUGACAAGUUGCAAAUCCGUGGCUGCACCAAUCGUCACUGGCAUCAAGUUCACAAGCAAGAUGGAUGAUUUAUUUGAUCAGCCCUCGGUCUACCGAUCACUUGUUGGAGGACUACUCUACCUCGCCAACAUGACUCGCCCCGACAUCUCCUUUGCCGUUGGUCUCCUCAGCCGAUACAUGCAGUCUCUGAGUUGUUAUCAUUGGCAGAUGGCGAAGAGAGUUUUGAGGUAUUUGAAAGGAACGGCUGCUCAUGGAUUGGUUUACAAAUGCUCAAGUCAAUCCAAACUUGUUCUUCAAGCUUACUGCGAUGCAGAUUGAGCUGGCAACUUGGAUACACGACAUUCAACCUCCGGAAUUUGCUGCAUAAUUGCCGGUGCUCCGGUUUCAUGGGGAAGCAAGAAGCAAACGACAGUUGCUCUUUCCAGUGCAGAAGCAGAAUACAUAGCUGCCAGUACAGCAGCAAGGGAGAUCAUCUGGCUUCGUCGAUUACUUGGAGAACUCAAUCAACAGCAAUCAGAUGUGACCAUUCUACAUUGCGACAGCAGAAGUGCAAUCGCCAUGUCAAAGAAUCCUGUGUUUCAUGCUCGUACGAAACAUAUAGACGUGCAGCAUCACUUCAUUCGCGAACAUGUAGCAGCCGGAGAUCUUCACCUGGAAUACGUUCCUUCACAGUAUCAGUUGGCGGACCUUCUAACCAAGCCACUUUCGGAGCUCACAUUCAUUAAGCUGAGGAAUCAACUUGGAGUGUCAAGCACACCCUCAGCUUGAAGGGGGAGUGUAGGAAUAAUGAUGAACACGACAAGCAGUCCAAAUCGUGAUCAGAUCUCUGGUGAUUUCCGAUUUGAUUGAAGUUGUAUAUAUAUAUACAGCCAUAUAUGAAUCAGUGUGUGUUGAAGUGAAAUCCGUUGUUCUUGCUCCGCUUUUCUUUGCUGCUUGCGAUGGAAAUGCGAGCAGUUUGUGAGAUUGGAUGGAUUGGAACAAGGGAUUUGCUCGAUCGAGUUUGAAAUAUCACUCGAAUGACAAUCAAUGUUUAAUUUCCCAAGGUAUAAUGGGAAUUUGAAUUCUUAGCGUUGGAAGUUUUAGGAGCGUUGGAUUUGGAGCAUCGCUCCACUUUGUGGAGGCAUCGGCAAUGCCGCAAGAGAAUUUGCAAAGCUAUAAGAGGUACGUUAGCUUGCUGUCGUUUUCUUCCCUCAAGAUCAGACCCCGAGCAGGGAUUAGAAGAACGAGAUGGGAAGAGGGGAUUAGAGGAACAAGAAGAACUGGGACUGGGCCGGUAGAACACGUUGAAGGCCUGUUGCAACAAGAAGAAGAACAGGUUGAAGGCCUCGAGGGCGAUCAAGGGCUGGAAGCAAAAGGACUGGAAUCUGAUGGAGCAGAGAAGAAGAACAGUUUCAAGACCUCAAGGGCAAUCAAGGGCUGGAAGCUGAUGGAGCAGAGGUUCAUGGCACAGGAGGGUGUGUUGACAUUGUCAAAAGAUACGAGUCGAGUGUCAAUAGAUGAAGCAAUACACUGGAAGCUAGCAAUUGUUGAUCUGCUCAGGUCUCCAGGAAUCACGCAACAAUCAGGAAUAGUUGUAUAUAGAGCGUGAAAGACUCAUGAAUAUAUACUCGUUUUUUUAUCUUUAUGGUAUCGGAGUGCAGGUUUGUGGCUCGUUAUUUUCCUUUCUUUGUUCCUGUUUCUUGCUCUCGAUUGCUGAGCUACCAUUUGAUGGCUCAAGGCGUUUUUGGUACUGGAUUGGGGGUGUGGAAUGUGGUCACUUCUCCCUAGGGUGCUCAUUCUUUAGCCAUUGAGUCCACUCAUAGUAGCAAUAUUGCUACUACAAUUAAUCAGGAGUAGAACUGUCUAGCCAUGAUCAAUUGAAGCUGGCAGAACAUCUAGCAUAUGUAACGAGAGUCUAGUCUGCUGCAGAAUUCUGGGAGUGCCUCCUUGUGUGCUGAGGGUUGUCAACUCUUCUGCUGCCACUAAGGAUCAUGGAGGUGUACAAAAUAGACUGGACAUUAUUUCAUCUGCCCAUCCAUUUCAUGAGCAUGAGAAGCUCUAUCCUAUUCCAUUUCUGUCUUGUGUCCCUUUGCUACCCAAAAAUGGUCCCUCUUUGCAGUAUAGACAUGGUCAAUCCUCUCCAGGUUUGCUUUUGCAUUCCUCCAUAUAGACAAACGAUCUGAGCAUAACAUCAGGCAGAUGAUAUGAGUUUGCAUUCUCGUUGCUGAAUUGGAGCCAUGAUACCCACAGAACCUUCAUGUCCACCUCGCAAUGCCAUUGACAUCCUUCUCACAAAGUUGCAAUGGUGCCAAACUUGCCAAUUCAUUCAGCUUCUGCUUGAAAUCAGCUUUUGUGUCCUUGGCAUUUCGAUGUGGUGCCUUCCUUUUAAUCCCAUGAAUGGCCUUCCUUUGGACAGCAUUAACCUGUUGUCAAAUGCCUUCAUCCUUCUCUUCUUCAUCAUUUUCAUCUUCUUCUAGCAAGAUAUGGAGUCCUUGACAUGGUUGGUUGUCACUCACUCACAUGCAUACGCAGCAAUGGCACACUGCUGUAAUAAUCCACUGUCAUCCCUAAUGCUUCCCAUCCCACUGUCCCAUGCAAAGGAGCUUCCUCCCAACCAUCUGGAUGCUGAGGAUGAUGGAUGCCUGGCCCCUUGACCUGACUCACCUGACUGACUCACUUGGGCUACAAGAGAUGCAUUGACACACUUGAUCACUUAUGGCACUGUAACCUCAUAGCAUUGCUGCUGGUUUGAGAGGAGAGGAGCCAAAGGGACACAAUCGAGGACAACAAAAAUAAGUGGAUUUGAACUCAAGUUCUUUUGGGAUUUGGAGGUGACAUCCAAACUCAAUCCAUAAAGAGGUGACUUCCACUUGCAGAGUCAUGGAGAAUAAUGCGAAAAAUAUUCUCAAGAAUUCUCUUAAAAAGGAAUUUGUAUAAAUAUAUUCCAUGUCUUUGUGAGUUCUUACAUUUCAUCAUGUACCUGCCUGUAUUCCCGUGUUCUCAUCACCUGCCAAUCGCUGAUUACAAACAUUAUAUAGAUCAAAAUCAAGAAUUGAAAAUUAUUUCAUGAUAGAAUUUUAUUUUGAAUUUUAUUUUUCCCCAAGCCUACAAGCACAAAUUUCUUGCCCAUGUGUAGCUUUAUUAAUGUUUUUGCACUUUUCUUAUCCCCAUAAUCUUAAAAGUGUGCCAAUUUGCUAUAAAAGCAAUUAAAACAAUCAAAAUGUGAUUGUCACAUGGGGUCUUGCCACGUCCGCAUUGCCACAUACUACUGCUCAGUGCAUAUGAAACCUGGUUGUGUCUGGUUUGCAUUAUCCUGUGAGUUGUCAAGAAAGCUCAGACAGUUCCCAAGAAGGCUCCCCUUCACCUCGUCAAUAUGCUUAGACUUGCUACUUCUGCAGAAAGUUGUUAAAUCCCAUCGCUUCUCCUUUUGACUAGGGGGUAAGAACAAAUCCAAUCGCCCUUGUCCUUUUCACUAGCACAUACUGAUCAAGAGCAAAAAACUAGUUGGCUUGGGAUUUUGAUCAAGCACGAGAAACAAGAGUGGCGAUUUUGCUUCAGGAAUCGAUUGGUUAACUUCGCUUCAUUUUCAGAUUCUGGACGUUUAGGAAUGAUCCAUGAUUUAGAAUUCACUGGGAUUGCCCUGAUCUAUACAGAGCUGGCUUGUGGACUUCUUGAAAACUCUUGUGCUGAAGGGCUCUCUUUUAGGAUUUGAAUCCUAUAAAAUGCUUAAACCAAACCCUAAAUGUGGCAAAUAAUGAAAUAUAUAUGUGUUAUUUGUAAAUUAGGCACCACCCACCCCUUUGGAGGUGUACCUCCCCCUCGAAUUGACAAUAGUUUCUUUCUUCAGCUUCCAGUGCUGGAUGGAAACAGAGGUCUCUGUGGAGUGGGCAUGAAGGAGCGGCCGCCACUGCUGCUGCCCUCCUCUGAAUAGGCCUCGAGAUCCACCCCCGCCCCGCCCAGCUUCGCCGCUCUCCUUCUCGCCAGCGACGCCUCCUGCCGCUGCGCGACGUACUUGCGCGUCCGGCACACAUAGACCGCAAGAACCACUAAGGUAAUCGCGAAGAACAGUCCCACCACGAUCCCAGCGAUCGCCUCGUGCGAGAGCGUGAUCGUUUCCUUGCUGGAUUUGGAUUGCUCCAGUAGCCACCGUCGUCCAAUCGACCCAAUCGCUGGCUGGAUCAUCCGCUGGAUCGAUCCAGGAGCUUCAUACCCGUAUUGGGUGACCUCAUAGGAUGAAUCUACACCGCUGCUACAACCGCCGCCUGGGAUCCAGAUCGCAAGCAGCAGGAAUAGAGAAAGAAGAAGAAGCAAGCCGCUCCUCUGAGUUGGCGCUACCUCUCCGCCAAAUAGCACCAUUUUCGUGAUCCUGCGUGUUCGUUGCCAAGAUAUCUAUUUCUCGACCUCUCAAGUAGAAUGGAAGUUUGGGCGAUUUUAUCAUUUAUAUAGGAAAAAGACCCUCUUGACCUACAAUACAUAACGCGACUAGUUCAAAGUCUUCUUGUGAAUAGCGCGUCAUACGUGGGGCCUUUGACGCUUGUGCUUCGCCUAGACCUUGAAGUUGACAGAACUUUUCUUAUGUGAAUUUCUUCUUCCUAAACCCUAAAUAAUCAAAGUGAUUUCAUGGCAAGAUCGCUUGUGAUCUGCAAAGAAAGAAGGAAUCUUUAUAGAUCAGUCUUCCUUGCCUCAAAAAUCCACAUUGCUUGCCGUGAGCUGAGAUGCAUUUCGACCAGCAGCUUAAAAUUUUUUAAGCCUGGGCGCCAUUUUCAUUAUAGGUUGGAGGGCAAAGCGUGGAGGUGGAUGAUUACACAGAGGAGCAGGAUAUAAUCUCCAGCAUUCUCCACCGUGCCUCAAGGAACUCACUGUUGUGCUCGAGUAUAGCAAGGAUGGUGAUGACCAGAUGGAAGUUAGCAGUCACUGCUGUUGGCUCCCUCACAAAGCUCUCCCUCGAAGCUCUCCAUGGGACCAAAUGGGGAGCAGCGUACUCCACCGCGAUUCAGGAGCUCCACAUCACUGGGAGACCAUGUUGGGGGGUGUGGGAUCUUGUAUGUAGAGACACAUCCUCGCGCUUGGUGACACCUCCGGGCACAAAUGAUUUAUUUGUGGGCACAAAUGACUGUAACACAAAUCAAUCAGUAAGAUUUAACAAAGAAAAAAAACCAAAGAAGAAUAGUCAAGAUCCACAUGAAGAAAUAGUUGUAUUGUCUCCAGAUUAACAAAGAAAAGAGACUGUCCAUGGUCAUCUUGUGUUCACUGUCAAUGCAUUGGAGCGCAAGCCUCAAAACCAUAGGCGAGACUGGGAGAGAUUGGCGAUGGCAUCCACCUUCCAGUGUCCAUAUAACGCCAACUUACGAAGGUUGUCACAUCGCAUGUCCACAACGCAAGAGUUACACUGUUCAAAACCUCUAGGCUCGGGCACGAAGCUAGCAGCAUCUGGAGCAGCGCAUGGGGGACGUAAGAGUAGAGCUCACAUCUUUGUACACGAAUCAUCUUGAAAAGAGAUCUAAGGCAAGAAAGAAUCAUGGCUGUCCACUCUUGAUAGGAAAGAUCAACGCAAAACACUCAAAUGAAACGCAGACCACUACAACCCUGUCUUGGAUUCGAUCGAAAACCCAUCGAGCCUCCAUUGCCGCAUUUCCCAUACAUGUUGAUCAAGCUACUGGCCACACGAGGAUUGGAUUGGAGCCAUAUCCUGUGUGGAUGUGGAUCCUCCUCCCUCUCUCCAAAUCCCUGGCGCCGGUGCAGGAUUUCAUGCUGUGACACUUGCCUUGACUCUAACCAUAAACUUUUCUCUCUAUUUCAAAGAGGUAGGAGCGAGAGGAACUCCAGUCUCCUCUCUAUGUGGCGGUAGCUCCAGUGGAACCUGUGCAGAAAACUCACAAGGACGAGCAUCAACAUCGUGACUCGCAAAACCACAAGAGGUACCAAUUCAUCUUUCGUGAAACUUAGUAGUCAUGCAGUUGAUUUUCAAUAAGAACUUGCAAAGAUCAGGCAUUGCUACUUCUCACGCGUGAAAAAUGCGACCAGGAAAAAAGAAGAGCAAGUCGAACAGCAGCCGGGGCUGCAGUGAAUCACGAUGUCUUCCACUUGAUGAACUCCAAGUAAAUCCUUGAGAACCAUCAUGGUGGGCGGUGUGGGAUCUUGCACGUGAAGAUGAACAGCCACAUCCUUACGCUUGGUGACAACUCCAAGCUCCCUCAGUUAACAGCGAACACAAGAUGACCAUGGACAGUCUCUUCUCUUUGUUUGGCUUUGGAGACAAUACAUACUGACUGCUGUUCUCUUCAGGUUCGUUUUUUUUUAUUUGUCUUGUGUUUCUUGCUGAUCGAUCUGUGUUGCAGUCAUUUGUGCCUGGAGGUGUCACCAAGUGCAAGGAUGUGACUGUUCAUCUUCACGUGUUGGUGGCGCUAAAGCCAGGUUACAAAUGCUUCUGGGUGCUGUUUGACCUGCUCUUUGGUCGCAUUUCUUUUGCAGAGAAACUGCAUCACUGGCUCUAUUAGAAGCGAUGCGUGAUCUUUGUCAAGUUUUUAUUGAACAUCAACGUCAUGACUAGCCUGGUAUAUUUGUAACACCUCGAGCCGCCGUUGAUGCUGUAGGUGACGACGCGCUCAUGUCGCCAUGAAGCGCCAGGCCUGCUCGAGAUCCCCCGCUUUGCACAAGCUAUCGAUCAGAGCUGGUUGUAAGUCGCCACGUCGGGGGAUGGAGCGAUCCCAACAUGGGCAAUGUGAUCUACGCGGAUUGGGCGCGAUCAAGCAUCGCUUCCACGUCAGGGAUUCUUCUCUUCCAUCGCUCUUCCUCUCCUCCUCGCCAUUCGUCCUCCUUGCGGCGCUCUGCAGCCUGCUUGUCGAAGUCUUUCCAUCACUGCUUGCGAUGGAAAUGCGAGCAGUGUGUGAGAUUGGAUGAAUUGGAACAAGGGAUUUUUGAAAUAUCACUUGGAUGACAGAAUCCCCAGCGUUGGAAUUUUUAGGAAGCAACGAGCGUUUGGAUUUGGAGCAUCGCUCCACUUUGUGGAGGCAUCGGCAAUGCCGCAAGAGAAUUUGCAAAGCUAUAAGAGGUAAGACGUUAGCUUGCUGUCGUUUGCUUCCCCCAGGAUCAGACCGAUUAGAAGAACGAGAUGGGAAGAGGGGAUUAGAGGAACGAGAAGAACAGGGACUGGGCCUGGAGCAACGGGUAGAACACGUUGAAGGCCUGUUGCAACUAGAAGAAGAACAUGUUGAAGGCCUCGAGGGCGAUCAAGGGCUGGAAGCAAAAGGACUGGAAGCUGAGAAAAGCAACGAGAAGAAGAACAGGUUCAAGACCUCGAGGGCAAUCAAGGGCUGGAAGCUGAUGGAGCAGAGGUUCACGGCAUAGGAGGGUGUGUUGACAUUGUCAAAAGAUACGAGUCGAGUGUCAAUAGAUGAAGCAAUACACUGGAAGUUAGCAAUUGUUGAUCUGCUCGGGUCUCCAGGAAUCACGCAACAAUCAGGAAUAGCUUGUAUAUAGAGUGUGAAAGACUCAUGAAUAUAUACUCGUUUUUUCUCUUCAUGGUAUCAGAAUGCAGGUUUGUGGCUCAUUACUUUUCCUUUCUUUGUUCCUGUUUCGUGCUCUUGAUUGCUGAUGGAGCGAUUGGCUGCUACCAUUUGAUGGCUCAAGGCGUUUUUGGUACUGGAUAGGGUGCUUAUUCUUCAGCCAUUGAGUCCACUUGUAGUAGCAAUAUUGCUACUACGAUUAAUCAGGAGUAGACUGCUCGAGCCAUCAUCAAAUUGAAGCUAGCAGAACAUCUAGCAUUUGCAACGAGAGUCUAGUCUGCUGCAGAAUUCUGGGAGCCUCCUUGUGUGCUGAGGCCAAGUAGCUGGUGUUGUCAACUCUUCUCCUGCCAAUAAGGAUCGCGGAGGUGUACAAAAUAGACUGGACAUUAUUUCAUCUGCCUCAUCCAUUUCAUGAGCAUGAGAAGCUCUAUCCUAUUCCAUUUCUGUUUUGCGUCCCUUUGCUUCCCAAAAAUGGCCCCUCUUUGCAGUAUAGACAUGGUCAAUCCUCUCCAGGAUUGCUUUUGCAUUCCUCCAUAAAGACAAACAGUCUGAGCAUAACAUGGUACCUCUACAUGGUAGGCAGAUGAGUUCGCACUCUUGUUGCUGAAUUGGAGCCAUGAUACCCACAGAACCUUCAUGUCCACCUUGCAAUUUACAUCGUUCUCGCAAUGGUGCCAAACUUGCAAAUUCAUUCAGCUUCUGUGUCCUUAGCAUUUCGAUGUGGUGCCUUCCUUUUAAUCCCAUUCAAUGCUGUGAAUGGCCUUCCUUCAGAAAGCAUUAACAUGUUAUCAAAUGCCUUCAUCCUCCUAUUCUUCAUCAUUUUCAUCUUCUUCUAGCAAGAUAUCUUCCAUUGGAGUGCUUGACAUGGUUGGUUGGCAGUCACUGCAACAAUGGCACAUUGUUGUAAUAGUCCAUUGUCAUCCCUACUUUGGAAUUGGAAUGCUUCCCAUCCCCCUGUCCCAUGCAAAGGAGCUUCCUCCGAACCAUCUGGAUGCUGAGGAUGAUGGAUGCCGGGCUUGACCUAACUCACCUGACUCACUUGGGCUGCAAGAAAGGCAUUGACACAGUUGAUCACUUAUGGCACUGUAACCUCAUAAGAACCAAAGAGAAGCAAUCUAAGACAACAAGAACCCUAACUUGUAAGUGGAUUUGAACUCAAGUUCUUUUGGAUUUGGAAAAACAAAUUGAGCCAAACUCAGUCCAUGUGGAGAUGACAUCCACUUGCAGAGCCAUGGAGAAUAUGAAAUACUAUAAAAAUAUUAAAAUAAUGCAUGCUAAAAAUAUUCUCAAGGAUUCACUUAAAAAGGAAUUUAUAUAAGUAUAUUCCAUGUUUUUGUGAGUUCUUACAUUUCUGUAUACCCGUGUUCUCAGGGCAUUUCAUCACCUGCCAAUCACUGAUUAUAAACAUUAUACAAAUCAAAAUCAAGAAUUGAAAAUUAUUUCAUGAUAGAAUUUUAUUUUGAAUUUUAUUUUCCCCCAAGCCUACAAGCACAAAUCACUUGCAUUGUUAUUUUAUUUAUUUUUUAUAUUUAUUUUUUUGCACAUUUUUUAUCCCCAUAAUCUUAAAAGUGUGCCAAUUACAUUUUGAUUGAUUACGUCCGCAUUACCACAUGCAGACACGUGCAUGUAGUACUCAUGUUGAUUUUCUACUACUCAGUGCAUAUAGGUUUGCAGCAAGGGAUUGGGGGGUUGAGCAUGAGCCUUUCAAUUAUAAAGUUCACACCAAUGCAAGACUCGGCACUAAACUACCAAGGUCCUCUCCAAUUCCAUGGUAGUCUUCUCCAAAUCGCUAGCACUUGGCGCUUGGCUUAUCCCAGAAUGAGACUGCUCUCUUCGGGCCAUGUAGCCAGCAAUGUGUUUUGUGGCUACCAAUAAGAGGCCAUGAAGAAUUGUAGCAAGUUCCUGAUGUUUGUAUCUUGUUCUGGUCCACUCCUGUGCUUUACAAAGGCCAUGAGAACCGAGUUCCAGUCUCCAGCACAGGAUGUUCUUGUGCGUGAUAUUUUGUCAAAAAUGAGCUUAACCUCUCAUCAUCAUUGUGUAGAGCAGACAGUCUCGCUGCUCGCACUCGUCAGACAAACCUUGGAAUAUGUUUUGAUGGUGGCUUUAGAAUCCUUGAUAUAUCAAGAUCAAAGAAAACAACAAGUAAAAAACUUGAAAACCUGGUUGCAUCUGGUUUGCAUUAUCCUGAGUUGUCAAGAAAGCUUAGAUACUUCCCAAGAAAUCUCCCCUUCACCUCGUCAAUCUGCUUAGACACUUCAUGCUUGACUUGCUACUUUUGCAGAAAGUUGUUAAAUCCCAUCUAUUCUCCUUUUGACUAGUGCAUAGGGGUAAGAAUAAAUUUAAUCGCCCUGUCCUUUUCACUAGCACAUAGAGUUGGGAUACUGAUCAAGAGCAAAAAACUAGUUGGCUUUGGGAUUUUGAUCAAGCACGAGAUUCAGGAAUCGAUUGGUUAACUUUGCUUCAUUUUCAGAUUCUGGACGUUUAGGAAUGAUCCAUGGUUUAGAAUUCACUGGGACGCCCUGAUCUAUGGACAGCUGGCUUGUGGACUUCUUGUGCUGAAGGGCUCUCCAGUUCUUGGGUGAUAUCGACAGUCUUAGAAUGGUGGACAGAAAGCUUGUGUGCCAUCAACGUGAUGAAAUUGUGGCAUUUUAUCGAGCAAGGUCUUUGUGGAGCAUUAAGCUUUGAACCAAGCCCUAAAUGUGGCAAAUAAUGAAAUAUGUUAUUUGUAAAUUGCCACACCCCUUUGGAGGUGUACCUGACAAUAAAUUAUUAUACAACGCUGAUUCGCAAGAAAAAUCAAGUAUCUUUACAUUGCUCUAGUCUAUGGCUCAAAUCGAAUAGUUUCUUUCUUCAUCUUCCAGUGCUGGAUGGAAACAGAGGUCUUUGUGGAGUGGGCAUGAAGGAGCGGCUGCCCUCCUCUGAAUAGCCGUCAGCGCCACCGACCUCGAGUUCCACCCCCGCCCCGCCUAGCUUCGCCGCUCUCCUUCUCGCCAGCGACGCCUCCUGCCGCUGCGCGAUGUACUUGCGCGUCCGGCACACAUAGACCGCAAGAACCACUAAGGCAAUCGCGAAAAACAGUCCCACCACGAUCCCAGCGAUCGCCUCGUGCGAGAGCGUGAUCGUUUCCUUGCUGGAUUUGGAUCGCUGCAGUAGCCACCGUCGUCCAAUCGACCCAAUCGCUGGCUGGAUCAUCCGCUGGAUCGAUCCAGGAGCUUCAUACCCGUAUUGGGUGACCUCAUAGGAUGAAUCUACACCGCUGCUACAACCGCCGCCUGGGAUCCAGAUCGCAAGCAGCAGGAAUAGAGAAAGAAGAAGAAGCAAGCCGCUCCUCUGAGUUGGCGCUACCUCUCCGCCAAAUAGCACCAUUUUCGUGAUCCUGCGUGUUCGUUGCCAAGAUAUCUAUUUCUCGACCUCUCAAGUAGAAUGGAAGUUUGGGCGAUUUU
rnacentral:lncRNA from 1 species